GCUGGCGGCGUGCCUAACACAUGCAAGUCGAACGCGAAAGCUCCGCAAGGGGUAAGUAGAGUGGCAAACGGGUGAGUAACACGUGGGUGACCUGCCUUCGAGUGGGGGAUAACGUCCCGAAAGGGACGCUAAUACCGCAUGACAUCCUGCGUUUGGAAACGCGGAGAUCAAAGCCGGGGAUCGCAAGACCUGGCGCUUGAAGAGGGGCCCGCGCCUGAUUAGCUAGUUGGUGGGGUAACGGCCUACCAAGGCGACGAUCAGUAUCCGGCCUGAGAGGGCGGACGGACACACUGGGACUGAGACACGGCCCAGACUCCUACGGGAGGCAGCAGUGGGGAAUUGUUCGCAAUGGGCGCAAGCCUGACGACGCAACGCCGCGUGGAGGACGAAGAUCUUCGGGUCGUAAACUCCUGUCGAGCGGGAAGAACGCUUCCCGGGUGAAUAAUCCGGGGAGGUGACGGUACCGCUAAAGGAAGCCCCGGCUAACUCCGUGCCAGCAGCCGCGGUAAUACGGGGGGGGCAAGCGUUGUUCGGAAUUACUGGGCGUAAAGGGC
rnacentral:rRNA from 1 species